ACACUUAAAAUCAAUAAUAAAAUUGAAAGGGAGCGCUCACGAGCAAAACCCUAAAACCUCUAUCCAAGCCCUCAAUUACAAAUACCCCAUCCCCAUUUCUCUGCGACUACCCAAAUCAAUUGCAACCCUUUUUCGCAGAUUCAAUUUGGGUCUGGCCCAUUAAAUCGUUGAGGAGGUUUUUGUGCUAAUUUGAGUUGAAUAACGAUGAGUAGCCGAUUCUCUCGCACGAUUUAUGUUGGAAAUCUUCCUUUGGACAUAAGGGAGUCUGAAGUUGAGGACCUGUUUUACAAGUAUGGCCGUAUAUUGGAUAUUGAACUGAAGAUUCCAUCUCGUCCUCCUUGUUUUUGUUUUGUGGAGUUUGAGGAUCCCCGGGAUGCUGAAGAUGCAAUUAGGGGUCGAGAUGGCUACAACUUUGACGGUUGUAGAUUGAGGGUUGAACUUGCACAUGGUGGUAGAGGGUCAGUUUCUGGUGAUCGCCGUGGUGGUUAUGGUGGUGGUGGUGGUAGUUUUGGGGGUGGAAGGGGUCGCCCUGCCAUUUCACGCUACUCUGAGUUCCGAGUUAUUGUUCGUGGACUACCAACUUCGGCUUCAUGGCAAGAUUUGAAGGAUCACAUGAGGAAAGCUGGUGAUGUGUCCUUCGCUGAAAUUUCUCGUGACAGAGAGGGCACCUUUGGUCUGGUUGAUUUCACAAAUUAUGAAGACAUGAAAUAUGCUAUUAAGAAACUUGAUGACACCGAGUUUAAAAAUCCGUGGACAAAAACCUAUAUCCGGGAUGGUGCUCAGCUAAUGGGCCAAAUCAAAGUCAGCACCCUAAAAGGAUAGGAUCUAUUAGGAUGUUUCUACAUCCAAGCUUUCUUGCUUUGGCCUCGUGGAUACUGGGGGACACACCUACGGAAAAUAUACAUAGGAUAGUGCAUAUGUAAUGCAUGCCUAGUCGAAUAUCUUAAUUUAUGUAGCUAUCUAUAUAUUAAUUUAAAAAACCUCAAAAUAAACUAAUAUAUAGAUAAAAGAUAAGUACAUAAACUAAGAUAUUUGAAUAGGCAUGUGUAGUCGAUGCCUCUAACCUCUCAUUGCCAAGGAAACAGAAGUAGAGAAGUAUAUAAUAGAAUAUAAAUCGAGAUUUAAUAUUUUGGUUUUCAGCUCUUCAAUUAGACCAUUGAAUUCCUGCAGACACAACAGCAGUUUGGCUGAUACUUAAUAUUUUCAUACAUUAGAAGGGCAAUUUUCACUCGCUUAACAACUUAUGUGGGUCUGCUACUGAUUCUUGCAAUUACAGGCCCCAACUUAAUUUCAUGUUACUCCAAAGUAGAAGCCUGGAACAUUUAAUUAUAACAUCAGAAAGAUAACUAAAUUUUUGAUAGUUAAAUGAAAUCCACUGAAUGACGUGAAAAGUAAAUUAUUUCUAACAUAUUACAUUUUUUUGGACACUUCCGUUUAAAGCUGAUACCUUGGCUCAUAACAAGAAUGUGUGAAUUGUUUCUGAUCUAAAAGCCUUUGAUUUGAUUGUAUUCCGAGUUCAGGUUAGCAAGUUUGACCGCAGUCCAUCAAGAUCAAGAAGCCGAAGUAGGAGCCGGAGUAGGAGUAGAAGCUUAAGAAGGGAUAGGAGCAAAUCUGUGGACCGGUCUGUCUCGAGGUCACCUUCUAAGUCUAGAUCUGCAUCUCCUGUGAAAUCGACCAGGGCAGCAUCUCCUGUAAAAUCUACCAGGGCAGCAUCUCCUGUCAAAUCAUCCAGGCCUAGGUCAAGAUCCUUAUCCGCUUCCCCAAAACAGGUGCGAUCAGGAAGUGCUUGAUACUCUUGCCAGAUAAUCGAAUGUCCAGUGAUGCUUGAAAGGGAGUGUUUGAUAGGAUUCUUAUUGGAAGGAACCCUUGUGUUUAGAGUUUUAUAUUUCUUGAUGAGAAUUAUGAAUUUUAGAAAGCUAAACCUUUUUAUCAUUAAUGUGUUGUAAACUAUUUACGUUAGUAUGGAUUCCAACUUUGAGUCUAGAGGUCAUCUCUGCAUUGCUUCAUUAUUCGAACUUUUUCGAUCAGGGUGUAACCUGGGAGUAAAAUUCUAGUUUUUAAGGCUGAA